GCCUUGGUAGCUCAGAUGGAUAGAGCGUCCCCCUCCUAAGGGGAAGGUCGCAGGUUCGACUCCUGCUCAGGGCACCA
rnacentral:tRNA from 2 species